rnacentral:rRNA from 1 species
UACGGGUGAGGCAAGCGUUGUUCGGAAUCACUGGGCUUAAAGCGCGUGUAGGCGGCUUGGUAAGUAUCUUGUGAAAUCCCUUUUCUCAAUGAAGGAACGGCGAGGUAUACUGCCGGGCUUGAGGUAGGUAGGGGUGCCUGGAACUCUAGGUGGAGCGGUGAAAUGCGUAGAUAUCUAGAGGAACGCCCGUGGCGAAAGCGGGGCACUGGGCCUUACCUGACGCUGAGACGCGAAAGCGUGGGUAGCAAACGGG